UACGUAGGGGGCAAGCGUUGUCCGGAUUUAUUGGGCGUAAAGCGCGUGUAGGCGGUCCGGUAAGUCCGCUGUGAAAGUCGGGGGCUCAACCCUCGGAUGCCGGUGGAUACUGUCGGGCUUGAGUACGGAAGAGGCGAGUGGAAUUCCUGGUGUAGCGGUGAAAUGCGCAGAUAUCAGGAAGAACACCCGUGGCGAAGGCGGCUCUCUGGGACGGUACUGACGCUGAGACGCGAAAGCGUGGGGAGCGAACAGG
rnacentral:rRNA from 1 species